CCUACGGGUGGCAGCAGUGGGGAAUAUUGCUCAAUGGGGGAAACCCUGAUGCAGCGACGCCGCGUGAGUGAUGAAGUCUCUCGGUACGUAAAGCUCUAUCGUCAGGGAAGAUUAUGACGGUAUCUGACUAAUAAGCCCCGGCUAACUACGUGCCAGCAGCCGCGGUAAUACGGAGGGUGCAAGCGUUAUCCGGAUUUACUGGGUGUAAAGGGAGCGUAGACGGGAGAAGAAGUCUGGUGUGAAAUCCUGGAGCUUAACCCCAGAACUGCAUUGGAAACUGUUCGGCUGGAGUGUAGGAGGGGUAAGCGGAAUUCCUAGUGUAGCGGUGAAAUGCGUAGAGAUCAAGAGGAACACUGAUGGCGAAGGCGGCCUACUGGACCGUAACUGACGUUGAGGCUCGAAAGCGUGGGGAGCAAACAGGAUUAGAUACCCGUGUAGUC
rnacentral:rRNA from 1 species